rnacentral:rRNA from 1 species
UACGUAGGGUGCAAGCGUUGUCCGGAAUUAUUGGGCGUAAAGAGCGUGUAGGCGGCCAGGUAGGUCUGCUGUGAAAACUCGAGGCUCAACCUCGAGACGUCGGCGGAAACCAUCUGGCUGGAGUCCGGAAGAGGAGAGUGGAAUUCCUGGUGUAGCGGUGAAAUGCGCAGAUAUCAGGAAGAACACCCGUGGCGAAGGCGGCUCUCUGGGACGGUACUGACGCUGAGACGCGAAAGCGUGGGGAGCGAACAGG